UUUGAGGUAAAUAGUGAGUAGCUGACUUAAGGAAGUGAUCAACCCUUGAGAUAAAAUUAAAUUUGCUUCUUUUUACCCCCAAAAACUUUUUACCGUGGGUAAAAAGAAUCUUCUUGGGGUAUAAAAAGAACCAGAUUUAGAUUCAACCCAAUGGUUAAUGAUGUAUUUUUCCCAAGAAAUCUGCUCACUAUUUACCCAAG
rnacentral:pre_miRNA from 1 species